rnacentral:rRNA from 1 species
AUUGAACGCUGGCGGCAUGCCUUACACAUGCAAGUCGAACGGCAGCACGGGGGCAACCCUGGUGGCGAGUGGCGAACGGGUGAGUAAUGCAUCGGAAUGUACCCAGUAGUGGGGGAUAACUAGUCGAAAGAUUAGCUAAUACCGCAUACGCACUACGGUGGAAAGCGGGGGAUCGCAAGACCUCGCGCUAUUGGAGCAGCCGAUGUCCGAUUAGGUAGUUGGUGGGGUAAAGGCCUACCAAGCCUGCGAUCGGUAACUGGUCUGAGAGGACGACCAGUCACACUGGGACUGAGACACGGCCCAGACUCCUACGGGAGGCAGCAGUGGGGAAUUUUGGACAAUGGGGGCAACCCUGAUCCAGCAAUGCCGCGUGUGUGACGAAGGCCUUCGGGUUGUAAAGCACUUUUGGCGGGAACGAAACGGCGCUUGCUAAUACCAGGCGCCACUGACGGUACCCGCAGAAUAAGCACCGGCUAACUACGUGCCAGCCGCCGCCGUAA